rnacentral:rRNA from 1 species
GACGAACGCUGGCGGCGCGCUUAACACAUGCAAGUCGAGCGAUGAAACUUUAACAGAACCCUUCGGGGCGAAGAUAAAGUGGAUUAGCGGCGGACGGGUGAGUAACACGUGAGUAAACUGCCUUAGACAUUGGGAUAGCCUCGGGAAACCGGGAUUAAUACCAAAUAAAAUCAUAAUGACACAUGUCAUAACGAUCAAAACUCCGGUGGUCUAAGAUGGACUCGCGUCCCAUUAGCUAGUUGGUAGAGUAAAAGCCUACCAAGGCGACGAUGGGUAGCCGGCCUGAGAGGGUGAACGGCCACAUUGGAACUGAGAAACGGUCCAAACUCCUACGGGAGGCAGCAGUGGGGAAUAUUGCACAAUGGAGGGAACUCUGAUGCAGCGACGCCGCGUGAACGAAGAAGGCUUUCGAGUCGUAAAGUUCUUUUAUAUGGGAAGAUAAUGACGGUACCAUAAGAAAAAGCCCCGGCUAACUACGUG